rnacentral:lncRNA from 1 species
CUUGGUCCUGCCUCAGUGAGAUGAUGGGUCAGACUUAGUAGACUUCCUAGGGGAGGCCUUACCCUCUCUGAGGAGCAGAUGGGAGGGGGCACCUACUCUAUUCUGGCUUCUGUGAGCUCCAGGAACAUAUGUGGUGCACAGACAUAUAUGCAGGUGAAACAUCUAUACGCUUUUUAAAUAUAAAUUAAGGACUAUAGGAAUCUGGGAACUCUUUCCCUGAGCGGAAGUAAACAAACAUCUACUCAAUCUUUAUAGAGCGCAGACAACAAAUGAAAGUAGGAACCAACGCAUUUAUUGAAUUUAUUUACAGAGCAUGGGUGAGGGUUACAGAGGUGGGUGACCCUAAAACAGCUGCACCACUGGAAAAUCACACUCCAGCAUGGACAACAGUUUCCUUAUAGCUGCAUCGAUGGAGUCAAUCUACACUCCAUGUGCUCUGCCCCUCCUGAGAACUGAGGCCACAUGCAGUUAGAGGAGAAAUGCAUUCAAAUGGCUGGGAGGUGCAGGAAGGAGUUGCUGGUAUCUCCAAUCCUCCCUACUCUCUUUUUCUAUGAGGGAACAGCAACAGUCAACAAGCCAGAUCUGGUUCCUUACAAGUAGUCACAACUGCUCUGAUGACGAUGAUGGCUGUUACACUUGGAGGGCAGUGCUCUGGGACAAUGGGAUACCGGAUAUCGCGUCUAAAUUUUUUAAAAAGAAGCAUUGCAUGAAGCUGGGUAUGGCGUUGCUUACCUGCUGUAAUCCCAGCAGGAAUGGGGCAAGGUGUUGAGGCAAGAUUUUUUUUUCUUCUAUGUUUUGAGGCAGUAUCUUGCCAUACAGCCUAGGACAGGUUCAGUCUCAGUCAUCCUUCUGCCUCAGCUCCCUCACCUAUAUCACCAUGCAUAUAUCACCAUGCCUGGCUGAAAGCAAAAUAUUGAGUUUGACAUCAACGUGGGCUAUACAUACUCCAUUAAAAAAAAAAGUAUUAUGCUCUCCUAGCAGUAGUAGAGAGGAUGCCUGAACUGGCCUACCCCUGUAACCAGACUGAUGAAUACCUCAACUAUCCUCAUAGAGCUCUCAUCUAAAAACUGAUGGAGUCAGAUGCAGAGAUCCACAACCAAGAACCAGGUCAAGCUCUAGGAAUCCAGUUGAUGAGAGGGAGGAGGGAACAUAUGAGCAAGGAGGUCAAGAUCAUGAUGGAGAAAUCUACAGAGACAGCUGAACCAAGCUUGUGGAAACUCAAGAACUCUAGACCUACAACUGGGGAGAAUCCAGAGGCCCAGAUGAGGCCCUCUGUAUGUGGGAGACAGCUGUGAAGCUUGGACUAUCAGAAGGACCCUGGCAGUAGGAACAAGAUACAAAUCUGGUACAUGAGCUACCUUGUUGGAGCCCAUUCCUUAUGGUGGGAUACCAUGCUCAGUCUGAAUGCAUGGGAGGAGGGGCCUGGCCCUGCCCCAACAUAUUGUGC